GGAUAUUUGAUGUUGGUUACAGAAACAAACGUUUUAAUUGAUACAGAGAUGGGGGCCAUUUAAUGAUAUAAUAAAUGAAAUUGAAAACUGAAAUGGUGAAUGUGUCAAAGAGACAACAACUCUACCAAUGAGAGGAAAACAACCGGUGUCAACCAGUUGGUCUUCAACACAUCGAGAAAAUCUUGUUACUUGAGGCUAGCCUAAAAACACAAAUGCGAAAUAGUUCAGUGAAAAUUGAUGUCAUACAUUGUACAUGUACUAAUGUUGUUUUUUUUUUCCUUUUGAGCCAUAACAGUGUCGGUUUAUUUUCGUCUGAUGAAAUUGACCUGCCCUCUGGUAUCUCUCGUGUAAACUCCGAAAUAUUUUUAUUAACUAAAAUUUAAAACAAAACGUACAAGACCAACAAAGGCUAGAGGCCCAUAAC
rnacentral:lncRNA from 1 species